rnacentral:snoRNA from 1 species
CCCCUCUCAGGGUCGCACGAGGAGAGUUUCCAGUACUCUACCAGUCUCCACUACGGGAGGGAGAGUCAAGCAGAGGCCUAUCCAUUCCAUUCCUAGCUUGCCCAGUGGCUAGCGAGUGGAAGGCAAUCUGCUACAAGU